UCCCUGGUAGUAUAUCGGUUAGUACACCCGCCUGUCAUUUGCCACGUGACCGCGGGAGAGCGGGGUUCGACUCCCCGCCAAGGAG
rnacentral:tRNA from 1 species